rnacentral:rRNA from 1 species
GACGAACGCUGGCGGCGUGCUUAACACAUGCAAGUCGAACGGUGAAGGUGGAGCUUGCUCCGCCGGAUCAGUGGCGAACGGGUGAGUAACACGUGGGCAACCUGCCCCAGACUUCGGGAUAACUCCUCGAAAGAGGCGCUAAUACCGGAUACGAGUUCUGCAGGCAUCUGCGGCAUUGGAAAGUUUUUCGGUCUGGGAUGGGCCCGCGGCCUAUCAGCUUGUUGGUGAGGUAACGGCUCACCAAGGCUAGGACGGGUAGCCGGGCUGAGAGGGCGACCGGCCACACUGGGACUGAGACACGGCCCAGACGCCUACGGGAGGCAGCAGUGGGGAAUAUUGCGCAAUGGGCGAAAGCCUGACGCAGCAACGCCGCGUGCGGGAUGAAGGCCUUCGGGUUGUAAACCGCUUUCAGCAGGGAAGAAGCGAAAGUGACGGUACCUGCAGAAGAAGCACCGGCUAACUACGUGCCAGCCGCCGCAGUAA